AUGCAACUCUUUCCCAAAGUUGUCUUGGGAAAAUCAGGAAGCGUCCCUGGCAGACACACACACAAGGCAAGGCAGAAAGGCAAGCUUUUCUUUCCCCCAAAGGAGUUGUAUUUUGAACAGGAUGGGAUAUGCAACUCUUUCCCAAAGCGUCUCUGGCAGACACACACACAAGGCAAGGCAGAAGGCAGGCUUUUCUUUCCCCAAAAGGAGUUGUAUUUUGAACAGGAUGGGAUAUGCAACUCUUUUUCAAAGCGUCCCUGCAGACACACACACAAGGCAAGCCACAAAGGCAGGCUUUUCUUUCCCCAAAAGGAGUUGUAUUUUGAACAGGAUGGGAUAAUGCAACUCUUUUUCAAAGCGUCCCUGGCAGACACACACACAAUGAAGGCAAGGCACAAAGGCAGGCUUUUCUUUCCCCAAAAGGAGUUGUAUUUUGAACAGGAAAAACACCCACAGGACAGCCCUUUGCAAGUUUGCAACAACAAAACAAAUAGAAAGACCUAAGACCCACACCACCAAACUCAGCCACAGACCACCCCACCUUUUCUCCUGUCCUGGUCUUCACACAGCCAUGCUGUGACGCAGCAAUGUUUCCUGCCUGCCUACACCAAUGAAUCUACCCUUCCACCCUCUCCAAAAGUCCCAGUGCGACUGAGCCACGAGGCGUGUGCACGCUGUUUUCAUUAAGCACGUCCUACCAGCCCCUCCCCCUGGUUAAACGUGCUCUCUGAUUGGCUACAAGGGGCAAACAACACACUAGAUUGCCCCAGUGGACUUAAAAAAGUUUGGAUGAUUUGACAAAGCAUUUUUUAAAAACGAAAAAAAAGGCGCCAUUACGGAAAACGGCCAAUCGCGGUUCGAAUCCGCGAUAUCCAGGCGUGUGGACAGCCAAGAUUCAAUAUUGCUUCAAAAAAUCCGAAAAUAACGAAUCAAUAACGGUAAACGGGGAAAACGAAUUAUUUGAGCAAGCCUACAAGAUACAGUCCCAAGGCUAUCUAGAUGUCUAAAUGUUUGUUUGCAUUUUUUUUCAAAAGAGAUGCUAUAAAGUGAAUCAAAAAAGUAUCUCCUAUAGGAAGUCAUUAGCAAGCAAUAAUUUUAGGAUACAUCAUGCUGUAACUGUGUCAGUAGUUGGAUGUGAGAAAGAUGAGAAAAAAGACCAAAUAUGUAUAAUAAGCACAAAUGAUAUGCAUCAUUCAAACUUUUCCAAGUAUUCUUCUACAGCGUGUAGUUUGAAAUAAAUUAGCAUAUACCUUGAGUGCUUCAGUACUUAAAUGCUGAUUUUAAUUGCUUUUAGAUUACAUAUUGGUUAGUUUCUGUAACUUUAGCAAUCUGGUGAAAAGCAAAAGUACUUCUAAAAAGGGGAGGGAAUUAUUUCCAAACGUAAUGAGAAAACUACCUUAAAUUUACCUGUGGCUGUACUUAUGAACCUGUUCUACAAAGUAAGGAGAGUCCUUAAAGUAAUUUGUUUUGAUAUGCUUGAUUGCACACUCUUAGUAUGUAUGCUUUGCUCCUAUCUUAGGCUUAAAUUCUACUUAUUUUUAGAUUGUCAAAGUGAAAAGUGGGACAUCCUAAGACUUAUACAGUUCCUAUGAGAGGCAAUACAUCUUUUUAGCAGGCCUUUUCUUCUGCUGUAAUUUCUUAGCUAUUCUAGCUGAAUUGUAAAAAUAGGUUGCUUUGCACAGAGAAUAUUCCAGGUAAAAAUAAUCCUGAAGGCAAUGGUGCAGGGAUGCUGGGGAAAUAAAUCUAUGCAAAUUCCCAAAACUUUUCUACAAGUUUAUUAUCAGGUUUUUCUUCAUCAAUCCACAUAUUUGCAGGGAAUACAGCA
rnacentral:lncRNA from 1 species